GUCUUCGUGGAGCAAGGACAAUUGUUCCCUCUAUGUGCACUUCAGCCAAAAAUGUGGGAAAGCUGGUGGUUCGACUCCACCCGAAGACA